AUUGAACGCUGGCGGCAGGCCUAACACAUGCAAGUCGAGCGGAUGAAGGGAGCUUGCUCCUGGAUUCAGCGGCGGACGGGUGAGUAAUGCCUAGGAAUCUGCCUGGUAGUGGGGGACAACGUUUCGAAAGGAACGCUAAUACCGCAUACGUCCUACGGGAGAAAGCAGGGGACCUUCGGGCCUUGGGCUAUCAGAUGCGCCUAGGUCGGAUUAGCUAGUUGGUGAGGUAAUGGCUCACCAAGGCGACGAUCCGUAACUGGUCUGAGAGGAUGAUCAGUCACACUGGAACUGAGACACGGUCCAGACUCCUACGGGAGGCAGCAGUGGGGAAUAUUGGACAAUGGGCGAAAGCCUGAUCCAGCCAUGCCGCGUGUGUGAAGAAGGUCUUCGGAUUGUAAAGCACUUUAAGUUGGGAGGAAGGGUUGUAGAUUAAUACUCUGCAAUUUUGACGUUACCGACAGAAUAAGCACCGGCUAACUCUGUGCCAGCCGCCGCCGUAAUAC
rnacentral:rRNA from 1 species